rnacentral:rRNA from 1 species
UACGUAGGGGGCAAGCGUUGUCCGGAUUUAUUGGGCGUAAAGAGCGUGUAGGCGGCCAGGUAGGUCUGCUGUGAAAACUCGAGGCUUAACCUCGAGCUGUCGGCGGAAACCAUCUGGCUAGAGUCCGGAAGAGGAGAAUGGAAUUCCCGGUGUAGCGGUGAAAUGCGCAGAUAUCGGGAAGAACACCCGUGGCGAAGGCGGCUCUCGUGGGACGGUACUG